GAUGAACGCUGGCGGCGUGCCUAAUACAUGCAAGUCGAGCGGACGAACGGAACUCUUGCUUCUCUUCUGUUACCGACGGGCGAGUAAUUCCUACGUAUAUGCCCUACCUUUAGGACUGAGAUCCCUUCAGGAACCCUAAUCUCGUACAGGAUCAUAUUUUGAAACUCGUGGUUCCUCAGACCAAGCCGUUCUUGCUGUCACUUAUAGAUGUUUCCUCGCUGCAUUAGCUAGUUGGUAAGGUAACGGCUUACCAAGGCAACGAUGCAUAACCGAUCUGAGAGGAUGAUCGGUCACACUGGAACUGAGACACGGUACAGACUCCUACGGGAGGCAGCAGUAGGGAAUAUUCGGCAAUGGGCGAAAGCCUGAUGGAGCAAAGCCGCGUGAGUGAUGAAGGUCUUCGGAUUGUAAAACUCUGUUAGUAGGGAAGAACAGAUGUGUAAGUAAACGUGCAUAUCUUGACGGUACCUAAACAGAAAGCAACGGCUAACUACGUG
rnacentral:rRNA from 1 species